GCCUAACACAUGCAAGUCGAGCGGCAGCGAGAGUAGUAGCAAUACUACUUGUCGGCGAGCGGCGGACGGGUGAGGAACACGUAGGAACUUGCCCAGAAGAGGGGGAUAACCAAGGGAAACUUUGGCUAAUACCGCAUAAACUCGAGAGAGAAAAGGUUCCCGCAAGGGUGCCGCUUGUGGAGAGGCCUGCGUCCGAUUAGCUAGUUGGUGAGGUAAGGCUCACCAAGGCGAUGAUCGGUAACUGGUCUGAGAGGACGACCAGUCACACUUGGACUGAGACACGGCCCAGACUCCUACGGUAGGCAGCAGUGGGGAAUAUUGGACAAUGGGGGAAACCCUGAUCCAGCGAUGCCGCGUGGGUGAAGAAGGCCUUCGGGUUGUAAAGCCCUUUAGGUUGGGAAGAAGUAUAUGAGGGGAAUAUCCUUGUAUAUUGACGGUACCGACAGAAUAAGCACCGGCAAACUCUGUGCCAGCCGCCGCGGUAA
rnacentral:rRNA from 1 species